rnacentral:rRNA from 1 species
AGUGAACGCUGGCGGCGUGCUUAACACAUGCAAGUCGAACGAGUAAGUGCUGUAGCAAUACAGAUUACUGCUAGUGGCAGACGGGUGAGUAAUACAUGGGAAUCUGCCUUGGAGCAGGGGAUAACAGUUGGAAACGAUUGCUAAUACCCUGUAUUGCCUAAGGGUGAAAGAUUUAUCACUCCAAGAUGAGCCCAUGCGGGAUUAGCUAGUUGGUAGGGUAAUGGCCUACCAAGGCAACGAUCUCUAGUUGGUCUAAGAGGAUGAUCAACCACACUGGGACUGAGACACGGCCCAGACUCCUACGGGAGGCAGCAGUGGGGAAUAUUGGACAAUGGGCGAAAGCCUGAUCCAGCGACGCCGCGUGGAUGAUGAAGGCCUUAGGGUUGUAAAGUCCUUUCAGCAGGGAAGAUAAUGACGGUACCUGCAGAAGAAGCUCCGGCUAACUUCGUGCCAGCAGCCGCAGUAAAAC